rnacentral:rRNA from 1 species
UACGUAGGGGGCAAGCGUUGUUCGGAUUUACUGGGCGUAAAGGGCGCGUAGGCGGCACGUAAAGUCGGACCUGAAAUCAUUGGGCUUAACCCGAUGGCUGUGCCCGAUACUUGCGUGCUUAGAGUGCGGGAGAGGCAAUCGGAAUUCUCGGUGUAGCGGUGAAAUGCGUAGAUAUCGAGAGGAACUCCGGUGACGAAUGUGGGUUGCUGGACCUACACUGACGCUGAGUCGCGAAAGCUCGGGGAGCAAACGGG